UAGGGAAUCUUCGGCAAUGGGGGGAACCCUGACCGAGCAACGCCGCGUGAGUGAAGAAGGUUUUCGGAUCGUAAAGCUCUGUUGUUAAGGAAGAACGAGUGUGAGAAUGGAAAGUUCAUACUGUGACGGUACUUAACCAGAAAGGGACGGCUAACUACGUGCCAGCAGCCGCGGUAAUACGUAGGUCCCGAGCGUUGUCCGGAUUUAUUGGGCGUAAAGCGAGCGCAGGCGGUUAGAUAAGUCUGAAGUUAAAGGCAGUGGCUCAACCAUUGUAGGCUUUGGAAACUGUUUAACUUGAGUGCAGAAGGGGAGAGUGGAAUUCCAUGUGUAGCGGUGAAAUGCGUAGAUAUAUGGAGGAACACCGGUGGCGAAAGCGGCUCUCUAGUCUGUAACUGACGCAGAGGCUCGAAAGCGUGGGGAGCGAACAGG
rnacentral:rRNA from 1 species